CUCACUGCUAGAUUAAGACAAUUCCAGCCACUUACUCUCCUCGUCCUCUGCCUCCUACCUCCCCUGAAGGGACCGAGAAUGAGAGUGGGAGUGGGGCAGGGAAGGGCUAAGAAAGCAGCAGACACUGCUCCCCACUCCACCUCAGCCUUCCAGGUCUAAGUGACACUGACAGAGGGAGAAGUUCUAAAUAGAACAAGAGCUCUAAUGAUGCAUUAUUACACUGCACUGGGUGUUUUAAUUACUGAAACUAGAAGGUUCUUGUGACUAAAAUGGACCAGAAAGCUAUAAGACCUGCCUGCUGGGACAGAACAAGAACUGACCUGGACCUGGAUUGGAAGCCACAGGAAGGCUUGAAUUCCCUGAAUUUCAGCAAUGCUUCCUGCAGUUAUUUUUUGGAAACUCAAGAGUUUAUUUGUGAAAAUGCCCAGAUAACCAACGGCCCUUCCUUAGCCUUCUUUCUCCUGGCCCUCCCUGUACAAAGGCUCCAUUUGAAGUAAUCCCUGAUGAUACCAUUGGUGUUCAUAGUCAGAAACAUUUUAUCAAGCGAAUUCAAGCAGGCAUGUGAAAAGUUGAUUUUGGCUUUUGUUUUUGUUUUUAAAUGGAGUCUCACUUCGUCACACACGCUGGAGAGCAGUAGCAUGAUCAUAGCUCGCUGCAGCCCCUAACUCCAGUCCUCAAGCAGUUCUCCCGCCCAAGCCUUCUGAGUCAUUGGGAUUGCAGGUGCACACCACUGCACCUGGUUCCCAGUGAAAAGGUUUCAUCUGUUUAAGUCCUGUCUCAGUCAUCUCUGGCUGCCACAACAAAAUGUAACUGACUGGGCGGCUUACACAAGGUUGGGAAGUCCAAGAACGAGGUGCCAGCUGAUUUGUGUCUGGUGCAAGCUCCAGUCCUGGCGUGCAGAUGACUGUGUUCUCUCUGUGUCCCUGCAUGGAAGAGCUCUGUUUAUCAGGACACAAUUCUAUCAAGUUAGGUCCCUAUCCUUCUGACUUCAUUCAACCUUCGGGAGCUUCUGAAGACUGUAUUGCCAGAUACAGUCAUAUCAAAAACUGGGGCUUCAACAUAUGAAUUUUUGGAGAGGGCACCGUUCAUUCCACAGCCAUGCC
rnacentral:lncRNA from 13 species